GACGAACGCUGGCGGCGCGCCUAACACAUGCAAGUCGAACGGAGCUGAGAGAAGCUUGCUUUUCUUAGCUUAGUGGCGAACGGGUGAGUAACGCGUGAGUAACCUGCCCUGGAGUGGGGGACAACAGUUGGAAACGACUGCUAAUACCGCAUAAGCCCACGAUCCGGCAUCGGAUUGAGGGAAAAGGAUUUAUUCGCUUCAGGAUGGACUCGCGUCCAAUUAGCUAGUUGGUGAGGUAACGGCCCACCAAGGCGACGAUUGGUAGCCGGACUGAGAGGUUGAACGGCCACAUUGGGACUGAGACACGGCCCAGACUCCUACGGGAGGCAGCAGUGGGGGAUAUUGCACAAUGGGGGAAACCCUGAUGCAGCGACGCCGCGUGGAGGAAGAAGGUUUUCGGAUUGUAAACUCCUGUCGUUAGGGACGAUAAUGACGGUACCUAACAAGAAAGCGCCGGCUAACUACGUGC
rnacentral:rRNA from 1 species